UUCGGCUCGUGUGAUUUGUUUUUAUUUGAUAGUUUUUUAUGGCAACUGGUACUGUUUAAUGGUUCUAUGAUUCCAUAGGCUUUGGCUUCGUCGCUCCUGAUUGGUUCAAUGAUUCCAACGGCUUUGGCUUCAUCACUCCUGAUGACGGCGGCGAGGAUCUGUUCGCGCACUUCUCCGCAAUCAAUAUGGCCGGUUUCAAGACCCUCAAAGAAGGUCAGAAAGUCCAAUUCGAAGUCACGCAAGGCCCUAAAGGCAAGCAAGCUUCCAACAUCCAGGGCGUGUAAUCCACCCCGGGAAGCAAAAGCCCCGCUUCGGCGGGGCUUUUUUU
rnacentral:sRNA from 1 species